UCAUCAUCAAACAUUUUCAAAAUUAUGCAGUUCUAAUCUAUCAGAAAAAGUAUAUAGAAAGCCACUACAUUGUAAAAGCCACAAAUUAUCAUUGAAUACCCUAUCUGAUAAGGUCUAAUUUUAAAAUAGAAUUUCACUGUAAAAUUUUAGACGUGCGCAGAUGCGACAGCGGCAGAUUGCUUUCGAUCAGACGUCGCGUCGGGACGCUAAAUUAUUCCUCGAUAGAAUAUCUUACAUAGGAUACGACAUAAGUAAAUCUUUGUAUAGAGCUUUACAUUUGACGUGUUAACAUCAUGGUUUCAAGAAGGGCAUUUUUUCCACAUUUGUCGAAUAAGACGGUCAGUUUGAUACUUUUAAGUUUAUUUAACAACCGUAGAACGGAGGUCUACCCAUAUGCUGUUCAUUCAAGAUAUUUUUCACGGUGUAAUGUUAUAAGAUAGAGGUACCUUCUGUCAAUGAUCGUUCUGUUAUUGAAAAGACGCACUCAAUGUGUUCCCUUUUUUUAAGAACUUAUUCAGUAGUUAGUUCCGUUUUUUUUUUUACUACCUGGAACUUCCUUUUAGUCGACUCUUUCCUUUGUAAACAUACGUAAAGACCGUCAUGUAUAAAAAAAGGGAAAUAACGAAAGCGAGAUCAUUAUAACUACAUAGGCUGAAUUAGGCCAAUCCAGCGAAAAGAGCUGGGUGCCAAAUUUUAACCUUCAGAAAAAUUUAAAGGCAUCAACCUAAUUAAAACCAGGUGAUCAGUUUCAUUAGAAACACGCGACAUUAGUUUAGAUAAGAUCAAACGAACAUUUUUUAGACUAUAUUUGCAAUCGCACUAACCACUUUUAAUUCUGGUUUAAACUUAAUGUAUAUUUUAACUACAGAAACUUUUUAAUUUUAAGUUGUUACAAUAGUUAAUAAUUAAUUUUAUGAAAGCAGUAUUAUAGCAUGUGUGAAAAUUGAGAUAAGAAUAUAAGUACAUUUAAUUGAAGCAGCAUGAAACUGUUAUGAAAUACAAAAAAGUAAUUUAUUGUAGGCAUGGAUGAAUUUCUUAUUAUAUGCAGUGUACAGGCAACAAUUUUGAAGUGUUUUGGAUUAAGUAUAAUUUAAUAACUGAUAUACAAUCUUUAAGCGUAGCAUAAAUUAAAAUGUUUAAUCAGUUUUUCUGUAAAA